rnacentral:rRNA from 1 species
CAAUAGCGUAUAUUUAAGUUGCUGCAGUUAAAAAGCUCGUAGUUGGAUUUCGGGUGGGAAUGGCCGGUCCGCCGUUUCGGUGUGCACUUGCUACGCCCACCUUGCUGCCGGGGACGUGCUCUUGAGUUCACGCUCGGGACACGGAGUCGGCGAGGUUACUUUGAGUAAAUUAGAGUGUUCAAAGCAGGCCUACGCUCUGAAUACAUUAGCAUGGAAUAACACGAUAGGACUCUGGCCUAUCUUGUUGGUCUGUAGGACCGGAGUAAUGAUUAAGAGGGACAGUCGGGGGCAUUCGUAUUUCAUUGUCAGAGGUGAAAUUCUUGGAUUUAUGAAAGACGAACUACUGCGAAAGCAUUCGCCAAGAGUGUUUUCAUUAA